CAAGCGGUGGAGCAUGUGGUUUAAUUCGAUGCAACGCGAAGAACCUUACCUGGUCUUGACAUCCACGGAAGUUUUCAGAGAUGAGAAUGUGCCUUCGGGAACCGUGAGACAGGUGCUGCAUGGCUGUCGUCACCUCGUGUUGUGAAAUGUUGGGUUAAGUCCCGCAACGAGCGCAACCCUUAUCCUUUGUUGCCAGCGGUCCGGCCGGGAACUCAAAGGAGACUGCCAGUGAUAAACUGGAGGAAGGUGGGGAUGACGUCAAGUCAUCAUGGCCCUUACGACCAGGGCUACACACGUGCUACAAUGGCGCAUACAAAGAGAAGCGACCUCGCGAGAGCAAGCGGACCUCAUAAAGUGCGUCGUAGUCCGGAUUGGAGUCUGCAACUCGACUCCAUGAAGUCGGAAUCGCUAGUAAUCGUGGAUCAGAAUGCCACGGUGAAUACGUUCCCGGGCCUUGUACACACC
rnacentral:rRNA from 1 species